rnacentral:pre_miRNA from 1 species
AGAGUGGAUUGCAGCCAAGGAUGACUUGCCGAAACAAUGCCAACUUCUGUUUGAAAGUUCCGGCAAGUUGUUCUUGGCUACGAUUUGCUCUCU